rnacentral:rRNA from 1 species
UACGUAGGCAGCAAGCGUUGUUCGGAGUUACUGGGCGUAAAGAGUGUGUAGGCGGUUCUCUAAGUUCGGUGUGAAAUCUCCCGGCUCAACUGGGAGGGUGCGCCGGAAACUGGAGGGCUUGAGUAUGGGAGAGGAAAGCGGAAUUCCUGGUGUAGCGGUGAAAUGCGUAGAUAUCAGGAGGAACACCUGCGGUGUAGACAGCUUUCUGGACCAUCGCUGACGCUGAGGCGCGAAAGCUAGGGGAGCAAACAGG